AUUGAACAGCUGGUUGCCUGCCUUAUUCUUGUCCGUCAAACGGUAACAUGUCUUCUGAUGCUGACCAAUGUCCAAACUCUAAUUCAUACUUCGAACCGUGUCCUGACAUGAGGGAUCUCUAGGUGAAUGCUUUGCUUUUGCCCCAUACAAUCUAACGAUGAUGUCACGGCUACCGCAUAGGCGCUUGCGCGUUUGUAGCGGCCGAUGGCACAUUCCGUAGUUGUGUGGGAUAAAAGCUUACCUAGCCUACCAUCUGUAGCUGGUCUGAAAAGACGACCAGCCCGCUGUCACUGAGACACUGCCCACACUCCUACCGGAGGCAGCUGAGGAGAAUUUUGGACCAUGGUGCUAUAGCCUGAUCCAACAGUGCCGCCUGCUCGAUGAAAGUCUUCAGGUUGUCAACUGCUUUUGUAGUUCUCCACGAUGCUCUGGUUUAUACCUGGUGCUCCUGACCGUGCCGGAGGACUCAUCACCUGCUUUCUACUUGCCUCCUGCCACCGUACUCCCCAGGGUGCCAGCGUUUCUCGGAAUUUCUGGCCCUAAUCCCUGCGCGGCGGUUUUGUUAGACGGAUGUGAAAUCCCCGGGCUCUACCUGGGAACUGCCUUUGAGACUGCUUAGCUGGAGUGCGGCAGAGGAGGAUGGAAUUCCGCGUGUAGCGGUGAAAUGCGUAGAUAUGUGGAGGAACACCGAUGGCGAAGGCAAUCCCCUGGGCCUGCACUGACGCUCAUGCAUGAAAGCGUGGGGAGCAAACAGGAUUAGAUACCCUGGUAGUCCACGCCCUAAACGAUGUCAACUGGUUGUUGGGUUUUAAGUGCAUCAGUUACGAAGAUAACGCGCGAAGUUGGCAGCAUGGGGAGUACGGCCGCAAGGUUGAAAGUCAAAGGAUUUGAGGGGGACCUGCACAAGCGGUGGAUGAUGAGGUCUAAUUCGUCGUAACGGGAAAAACCUUACCCACCUCAGACAUCUAUGGAAUCCCUCAGAGAUAGAGGAGAGCUGGAAAGAGAGCAGUAUCCCAGGUUCCGCAUGGCUGUCGUCAGUUGGAGUCGUGAGAGGGUGUCAUAAGUACCGCAACGAGUGCUCCCCUUAGCAUUAGUAGAUAUGAAAGCGCACUUAAACGGGUCCCCCGCCGACAAGCUGGUGGAAGGUGGGGUCGUCGACAAGUCCUCGGGCACUUUAUAUGCCGGGCUACACACGUCAUGCAAUGGGUGGUACAGAGGUUCGCCAACCCAUGAGGUGGAGCCAAUACCACAAAACCAGUAGUAGUCAGUAUCGCAUUCGGCAAUUAGAUCGGGAGCAGUCGGAAUCUCUAGUAAUGGCGGAUCAGAAUGUAGCGGUGAAUAAGUUCCCGGUUUG
rnacentral:rRNA from 1 species